ACACGUGGGUAACCUGCCUUAUAGUGGGGGAUAGCCUUUCGAAAGGAAGAUUAAUACCGCAUAAGAUUGUAGUAUCGCAUGAUAUAGCAAUUAAAGGAGCAAUUCGCUAUAAGAUGGACCCGCGUCGCAUUAGCUAGUUGGUGAGGUAAUGGCUCACCAAGGCGACGAUGCGUAGCCGACCUGAGAGGGUGAUCGGCCACAUUGGGACUGAGACACGGCCCAGACUCCUACGGAAGGCAGCAUG
rnacentral:rRNA from 1 species